rnacentral:tRNA from 1 species
GUAGAAUUACUACGGUUCUGGAUUAGGAUACACGCCUGGGGCGCGUGCGAUCCUGGGUUCAAAUCCCAGCGGCCCCACCA